CUGAUUUUUUUCGAGAAGGCAGACAUCUUUGUAAGCUGAGCAGAUACUAAGUUGAGAAGACCACAACAGCAUUGUCAAUGGUGCAGACAUCACAGCAGCAGUAGCGAUGGAGGGGCUUCCUGUUUUCCUCAAGGAGGAGUGCUCCUGUCUCUUCAGGAAAUGCAUGGGCACAGAUGCUGUGGAGGAUUACAUGGAAGACGGAAGACGACCUCACCA